UGGAGGACAAGUAACAAAUGUUUCGGGGUAGUCCCUUUGUCAAUGCAUCAUUGAUAAAAUGAUGCAUUGACAAAGGGAUUACUCCGAAACAUUUGUUAUUUGUCUUCCAAAU